GCAGUCGAACGAUGAUCCCCAGCUUGCUGGGGGGAUUAGUGGCGAACGGGUGAGUAACACGUGAGUAACCUGCCCUUGACUCUGGGAUAAGCCUGGGAAACUGGGUCUAAUACUGGAUACGACCUUCCCACGCAUGUGGUGUUGGUGGAAAGCUUUUGUGGUUUUGGAUGGACUCGCGGCCUAUCAGCUUGUUGGUGGGGUAAUGGCCUACCAAGGCGACGACGGGUAGCCGGCCUGAGAGGGUGGACGGCCACACUGGGACUGAGACACGGCCCAGACUCCUACGGGAGGCAGCAGUGGGGAAUAUUGCACAAUGGGCGCAAGCCUGAUGCAGCGACGCCGCGUGAGGGAUGAAGGCCUUCGGGUUGUAAACCUCUUUCAGUAGGGAAGAAGCGAAAGUGACGGUACCUGCAGAAGAAGCGCCGGCUAACUACGUGCCAGCAGCCGCGGUAAUACGUAGGGCGCAAGCGUUAUCCGGAAUUAUUGGGCGUAAAGAGCUCGUAGGCGGUUUGUCGCGUCUGCCGUGAAAGUCCGGGGCUUAACUCCGGAUCUGCGGUGGGUACGGGCAGACUUGAGUGAUGUAGGGGAGACUGGAAUUCCUGGUGUAGCGGUGAAAUGCGCAGAUAUCAGGAGGAACACCGAUGGCGAAGGCAGGUCUCUGGGCAUUAACUGACGCUGAGGAGCGAAAGCAUGGGGAGCGAACAGGAUUAGAUACCCUGGUAGUCCAUGCCGUAAACGUUGGGCACUAGGUGUGGGGGACAUUCCACGUUUUCCGCGCCGUAGCUAACGCAUUAAGUGCCCCGCCUGGGG
rnacentral:rRNA from 1 species